rnacentral:lncRNA from 1 species
GGUAUGGGAGUCUAAAAUAAAAAUGAUAGAAUUUGUUCAUACUUUGCCAAAACGUAGUAUCUAUUGAUAUCUGUUGAAAAAUAUAAUAAAAAUGAUAGGUCACCGCUCAUUUUAUCAAGCUACAGGAUGUGACAAAAUGACACAUUUUGUAUGGAUUAUACAGGAAAAAACACCAUUUUGUGAUUAGGAACUUAACAAAAUGAUAGAAUUGUUAAAUACUUAAGGAAAAGAUAGCUUUCAGACAAUGCUUUGAGAAUAUCAAAAGAAAAGAUAGGGUCACCGUACGUUUUUUUCGGUUAAAAUACAAAAUAGGAAAAUUCCAUGUAGAAUCCUUCAGAAAAUGCACUGUUUUAGAGUUACCUCCCCUUAAAAUGCCAAUUUAAAUAAAAACUUAAA